GGAAGGAGAAGCAGCAGACUUAUCCAGAACAGAUAAAGAAGCCAUCCAAGGAAAAAUAGGUACAGAACUUUGUGCUAACAAGAUUGCUCACCCUUGCCCCUGCCAGACUUAAACUUCGUCAAUUAUUUCAAACACUGAAAACCAGGUUACUUCACUCCCAAAUGUCCACAUCUAGCAUCUUCUUGUAACAGUCCCUUCUCAGGUUGGUGG
rnacentral:lncRNA from 1 species